rnacentral:rRNA from 1 species
UACGAAGGGGGCUAGCGUUGCUCGGAAUUACUGGGCGUAAAGGGAGCGUAGGCGGACAGUUUAGUCAGAGGUGAAAGCCCAGGGCUCAACCUUGGAAUUGCCUUUGAUACUGGCUGUCUUGAGUACGGGAGAGGUGUGUGGAACUCCGAGUGUAGAGGUGAAAUUCGUAGAUAUUCGGAAGAACACCAGUGGCGAAGGCGACACACUGGCCCGUUACUGACGCUGAGGCUCGAAAGCGUGGGGAGCAAACAGG